UACAGGGGGUGCAAACGUUGCUCGGAAUCAUUGGGCGUAAAGCGCACGUAGGCGGUCUGUUAUGUCGGAUGUGAAAGCCCUUGGCUUAACCGAGGAAGUGCAUCCGAAACUGGCAGGCUAGAGUACUAAAGAGGGUCGCGGAAUUCCCGGUGUAGAGGUGAAAUUCGUAGAUAUCGGGAGGAACACCGGUGGCGAAGGCGGCGACCUGGGUAGAUACUGACGCUGAGGUGCGAAAGCGUGGGGAGCGAACAGG
rnacentral:rRNA from 1 species